AUGAUGGUCUCUUGCACUGCUUUUGUGAAUUCCUUCAGUGGAGGGACGUUCACGUCGCCACCGUUUUUUGCAAAGCACUGUGUUUUGCAGCCCCCGUGCUGGUUUGUGCUUCUGUUCCAUGAGCACUUGGCCUCCCAAAAUGCUGGGAUUACAGACCCUGACAGUCAUCCCUGUUGCAGAUGUGAGCCUCCAGGCUGUGGGGCACUGGGACACAUCUCUUGGUGUCUUCCAUGUCCUCCCUGUUCACCCCAGCUGCUUCCGCAACACAUCAACUGUGUAUCACGUUCCCUCUGCCUGUGGAGGCUGGCCUCAGGUUCCCCCUCUUGGUGGGGCCUGCUGGGGGACGUGGGAUGGUUUCUGGGCCUCCAGCUUUGCCAGCUUUCUCAGCAGGCACCCAUGCCUGUCUCUACAGCCUUGCUCUCCCUCCUGGAGGUGCCACUGUGCAUGGCCUUGGACAGAGGAUCGUUCCAACAGCCACUCGCCCCUUACUGCUUCAGCGCACCAAGCCUGGCCGGGGAGUACAUGGUUCUGCACAGGGGUCGGAGUCUGUGGCCUUGGUACCUCCCCAGCCAGAAGAUCACACGUACCCCUGGAUCUCACAGCCUCUUCAGGAGUGAGCCCUGGACAGCACUGUCAACAAGACGGGUGCUCAGUGCUUUCCCUGUUUUCUAUCAGAGAAGGUUCUGGUUUCUGAUGACUCCAACCUGCAUGCAGAUUACAUGCCAGCAGGGAGUUGAUGGCAACUGGAAUCGUGCCAACUUCACUUCCUACUGUGAUCCGACAACCCUUGGCCUGCCCUCUAACCCUCUCCACUCCAAGGUCAUCUCUCAAGCCUCAGUGGAACAGUCACGGCUCUUCCUCACAGCACAGGGCAACUUGGACCUGGUCUUACAGCUCUCCCAUCUGAUCUGGGAACUAGGACUGCUCAUCUACUGAGACUAUAUUGAGGGGGCUGGGCACGGUGGCUCAUGCCUGUAAUCCCAGCACUUUGGGAGGCCGAGGCAGGCAGAUCACCUAAGGUCAGGAGUUCGAGACCAGCCUGGCCAGCAUGGUGAACCACGUCUCUACUGAAAAUACAAAAUUAGCUGGGCAUGGUGGUGCGUGCCUGUAAUCUCAGCUACUUGGGAGGCUGAAGCAGGAGAAUCGCUUGAACUCAUGAGGCAGAGGUUGCAGUGAGCCAACGUCGCGUCACUAUACUCCAGCCUGGGUGACAGAGCGAGACUCCGCCUCAAAAAAAAAAAAAAAGAAAAGAAAAAAAGAAAAAACUUGGCAAUGACAGCACCAGGGCCUUCUCUGACAGGAGCCUGGAUGGAGAGUGAAUUACCCAGGAAAUGCAGCAGAGGCCGGGGUAGAACAAGGGUUCCCAGGCAGGAGCCAGGGUGACCCCAUCUGCUCUCCUGUCACUGAGGGCUGGGACAGUGGUGGUGUUGUCUUCAAAGCAAGGUGAGCUGGAUGGAGGCUGGGAUCCUAAGGACUGGGCUGCUGGCCUCUGCACUGUCUGUCUGAGGGCAGAUUACAUGUUCUUCUCUUAGUUUAGUCACAUUAUUUUGAGUCAUGUCACUCUCACCUGAAACUACAGCUAAUAAUAAACUGACCUGUUAUCCACCCGACUGGCAACUUAGACUGGGUGAAAUGGAUUGUGUUUUCUGAUCUCUCCUGUCAUACAACUCGUAUGGGCUACAGACAAACGUGAAUGCAUUAUUAACAAACCAGCAGACUGCGCAGGGGAGAGCGCAGAUGGCUGCAUAUGUUAAGAGCUGGAGGCAUUAAUUAUGAAGCAUCCUCAUCUUCUGGGGUUCACUCACAUCAUGACAGUACAAGUGUUUUCCUGGUAAAUCUACUGACAUUCUGUAAGUAAAGUCAACCUUCAGGGAGGAUUUCUUAAAUUCGAACCAAUUUAACAAAAUAAAUACAACAAGUGAGGAUUUUCUUUAAGGUUCUAUUAAAUGUUUUAAUAAGCUUCCUUUUGGAAGGGGCCAAUUUAAUUAAUUAAACCAUGAUAUUAAAAAAAGAAAAACAACCUAAUAAUGGUUCUGGCCAAGUAAAAUUUUACUUUUUUUUUUUUUUUUUUUGACAUGGAGUCUCACUCUAUCACCCAGGCUGCAGUGCAACAGCACGAUCUCGGCUCACCUUAACCUCUGCCUCCUGGGUUCAAGAGAUUCUUCUACCUCAGCCUCCUGAGUAGCCGGGAUUACAGGUGCCCACCACCAUGCCAGGCUAAUUUUUGUAUUUUUAAUAGAGACAGGGUAUCACCAUGUUGGUCAGGCUGGUCUCAAACUCCUGAGCUCAGGUGAUCUGCCCGCGUCAGCCUUCUAAAGUGCUGGGAUUACAGGUGUGAGUCAUCGUGCCUGGCUUAGAAUUUUACUUUGAUAAAAGUAUAAAAUGAUCGAAGGGAAGUAUGCUAUCGAGUAUACAGAAAUAUUAAAAGAUUAAAAACAGAGGGAUCAUAAACCAAAUAAAUAAGUUUAAAUGGCUAAGUUUGAUGCACUUUAUUAAGGUAUUAAGAAGAUACUGAAAAACAUGGAAACUUCCUUUGUGUAUGUUAUGUGGUGUACAAUAACGACAGGUGGGGCAUUGGCGAGUAACAAUGUCAGUUGGUUUGUCUCUUUAUCCAUCCCUUCUCACAUCUUCUCACUCAGCCCUGCCAGGCUCAUCCCUUGUCCUGUGUGUGCCAGGAACAGCCCUUGGCCGAAUAAGGACAGACACAGGCCAGUAAGGGAGCCCCACCGCGGCCACCUGAUCUUACAAAGGAGCAUGCGGCAACCCCCUGAGUGAGACACUGGGGAAAAGAAGGAGCCUCCUCCCUGUGGCAGAGGCUUGAGACCCAGCCAGGAAGCGCUGGGAAGCCAACCCCCAGAAGAGUGGCAUCGAACCGAGUUCUUAAAGAAUUCAUUGGGUUAAUUACAGGUUAAUUAGGGGAAGAGGAGAGGGACUGGAUUUGUGAAUUAUUUAUGUUCCGUAAGGAAGAAUGACGGGGAAAACAGUUGAAACAGCUUACAUCUCUACAUACCUGUUGGUUAUGAGCAUGG
ensembl:lincRNA